GACGAACGCAGGCGGCGUGCUUAACACAUGCAAGUCGAACGGUAAGGCCCUUCGGGGUACACGAGUGGCGAACGGGUGAGUAACACGUGGGUGAUCUGCCCUGCACUUCGGGAUAAGCCUGGGAAACUGGGUCUAAUACCGGAUAGGACUCCGGACUGCAUGGUCUGGGGUGGAAAGCUUUUGCGGUGUGGGAUGGGCCCGCGGCCUAUCAGCUUGUUGGUGGGGUGAUGGCCUACCAAGGCGACGACGGGUAGCCGGCCUGAGAGGGUGACCGGCCACACUGGGACUGAGAUACGGCCCAGACUCCUACGGGAGGCAGCAAUGGGGAAUAUUGCACAAUGGGCGCAAGCCUGAUGCAGCGACGCCGCGUGAGGGAUGACGGCCUUCGGGUUGUAAACCUCUUUCAGCAUCGACGAAGCGAAAGUGACGGUAGGUGCAGAAGAAGGACCGGCCAACUACGUGCCAGCCGCCGCGGUAA
rnacentral:rRNA from 1 species